AAGAUGUUAGUUAAUCAUAACACUGCCUUGUCAAGACAUAAUUACAGGCUAAACCCUGUACAUCUUC
rnacentral:tRNA from 1 species